CUGCAAUCUGGAGGAGCUCAUCUCUUUUGUAAUAGUUAUCUUAACAAGUAAAGCUGAAAUGAAAGAAUCUGCCGGUGUUAUGGAUGGAAGGUGCUAUUUAAACAGAGAAAGGAUCUUCUUUCUCUUUGCCUUUUUUGCUCUGAUUUCUGAUGGUCACUAUAGCAACAGGAACCAAAGAGAUGAAGAACUGGAAAACAUGCACUUCACUAUGACAAGUUCAAUUUACAGCCAGCUCAGCAAUGUAACAAAUCUGUGUCAUACUUAAUGAGAAGCUGUGCAGCAGGGCAGGCGUGAUGGGAAGACAGAGUUAAGACUGAGAUAUGAAACAGAGAACUCAGCACCCUCCAGUUUUGUCUUUUGUUCACCCAGCUUCAUAUAUGUUUAAGACAAGGAUAAUGUGGAUGGUCAUUGCAGUGUCCUUUUUGUGGGCUGGGAUUUCUAUUGCCCAUGCUUUUUCCAAAGGAGACUUUUCCUGACUGCACCAUUCGUGUGUCGGAGGAUGUGGAGCUGUUUGUGCCUGAGAGCCUGAGCAGAGCUCAAAUGAGAAUUCUAAAGGCAACACAAGCCCCCAGGACAUUGUUUUCCAGUCCAUGAGCAGAAGCUUUUGGCUGCUGCAGAAGUUCCCCUCUGUCUCAUCUGAAGCUGCUGUAAAGCAUAAAACGGAAUGAUCCCCUAAAAUGGAAUCACCAGGGAGAGCAACCCCAAUGGACACCUUUCCUGCCUGUCAAAAUCCCCUCUUAGGAAGGAAUGGGCACAGGGAGUGCAUUCAGCAUUUGCCAAUGCCCUGAUGUUCCCCCACCCAAAGAGAAUUAAUGGCUGAGCUGGAAUGAAGAGCACAGCACAGAGAGCAGGCAUGGCCCAGACCUCACAGCACUAAUUAUGCCCUUAAAGGGACUGAAUUGCUAAUUUUGGAUAGUCAUGGGAGCUGCUCUGGAAAUGCUUGCUAGAGGAAAUGCAAAUAUAUCAUUACAACACUGAAUUAAGGGUCAAGGAAAAUACUGUUGCUAAGAAGCUGGACACACUGAAGAUAUUCAAGACUGAUGGACCAGAACCUCUUGCAUCCAUACCUGUAACAAAUGGAAAAGGUCAGGAUUAAAUGAAAGCAUGACUGUGUGCUGUGCCAAACUAUUACCCUUCCCAGAUGCUAAGCAAAAAAUUAUUGUGGUUUUUUUUUUUUGUUUUACUUCUUACAAACAGUAGAAAUUUACAAAAACACAGUAAAUAUUUUUGAACUACAGAAACGCCUUGCAAAAUGCUGAAAUUGUAUGAAUGGUGCUCUGGUUUAGCUGACAAAAAGUGGUAUUUGGUCAGAGGUUGGGCUCGGUGACCUUGGAGGUUUUUUCCAACCUUAAUGAUUCUGUGUUUCUAUGACUCUACUUUCAAGGUAAUAAUUUAAAAAAAAAAAAAAAAAGGAGAAAAAGCAAAAAAGUUAACAUUUUUAAUACUAAUUUACAUGGUAAUUUACCAGUUCAGCAGGAUGGAGUUUGUCAAGCAUAAGGGCGUGAAGACUGUUAAUUGCUUUUCUUUUUAUGACCUUAUUACCACCCAACGUAUAAGUAUUAAUUCCCUUUUUUUUUUUUGUUUUGUUCCUGAAAGGACAAAGUUGAAGGGGGAAGCAGCUUGAACCUACUGGCUAGCCUGGGAAUGAGGAUCUGCUCGCUGCUGGUGCCAUCCCCCCCCUCGGUGGUGGCCUUCACCUCGAUGAUAUAAUCGUCGUUGGACUGGAGCCACAGCUCGGCCGUCGUCUGCUCCGUGCUCAGCACCUUCACGCUGCCCUGGCUGCUGGUCCUGUACAAAACCUGCAACACAGGCAACAUCCUCCUCUAGGACCUGCCCUGCCAGUUUUGAGCUGGGCUUCUCAGAAUCCAGGUUUCUUUUCGGGGUGAAAAGAUCUGAAUUUUUUUUUUUUUUUGGGUGAAUGUUCUCGUGCGGAAUUACGUUUUAAGAAAGAAGGUAACAUCAAUCAACAGGUUUAAUUAGAAAUGGCACAGUGUAGAAUGAUAACACGUAUUAUAUAUUGUUUUGAUUGCAAUUGUUAUUAUAGGUAAUAAUAUAGUUGGUGGUGGGACACUGGAACAAGCUGUAAACAUGAAUUUCUUGCCAAUACAACUCAGAUCUUCAGCUAAAUCUUUUAAGUGGGAAUAUAUCAUGUGGGAUCCAGCUACACAGAGCUUAUCAAGAACAUCCUCAACUAUUCUUUUACACUUAUAUGACAUAUUUAAAUACUUGUACACUUGUGUGCUGAUCAGAUUUAGAGCAGAUGUAAUUUCUAUCAGGAAAAUGAGCAAGUCCCACAGUAGGUAAGAAGAAAAAGGGUUUAAAAAUACCAGUUUGAUAUGUGUGGUACUAUACAUAGACCUGGCCAGGAAGGGAAGCUGUGUCCACCAGGCUAAAUCUUGGAUUAUAUAGUUUCUUCUGAAGUGUUAUAUAUUUAGGUGUUACAUAUUUUUAGUAAGUUUUAUAGAUGUGGUAAGUGUUCUGCAGGUUCUAAGAUCCAAGUGUUACACGUGUGGUAAGUGGGAUCCCAAGAGAAGGCAUGAGGAGAAGGCAUUAGUGUACAUUAAUGGUAAUUAAUUAGUGGUAAAAAGGACUGUGGUUAUGAGACAUUGUUAGAAUGUGAUUAAAAUCUGUAAGAAGGCUGUGACAUUGGGCAUCCUCUGAACAUGCAAAUAGGCAAGAAAAAGCCAACUUUGGAUUGCUUUCAGCUCUGUUUUCACUGACCUUAUACCCAGUCACCUCGGACUCGUUCCCCAGAGCUGUCACCUCCUCCCAGCUCAGGAUAACUCUGGAGUCAGUGACAUUCCACACGACGUUUCCUGGAGGUUGACUGGGUGCUUCAAAUACAUAAUAAAAGUAUGACUUUAAUUUAAUUGGCAUUAGUGAUUUAUUCAACAGUAGGAAAUAGUUCAGGCAAUUGACUGUUGUUACAUUUUGGAUGCAAAAGCAACUCAAAUGCAGGUUCCUCGUUUGUACACGUUAUGGUUCAGAGGCUAAAUUGGAAAAAUAGAAGGAAGGAAAAAACAGAAUGCCACAUAAAUGUUAUUUCUGAAGCUGAAUUAUCUGUUGAUUGUCCUUCAUUAAAUGCAGCCAGAUAGAAGCAUGUGUCUUAGGAUGUGGGUGAUCAAUUAGAACAAGCUGGGGAAAACAAUGGUGGUAACAGAAAAUUUACAGUUUUAGUGCAGUGCCAAGAACAAGAAAAUUCUUCAUAAGAUAUUGUUAGAUAAAUUUAGUCUUACUGACUAUUCAAAUCUACACACUACCUUAUUCACUUUAAUGUCUGUAAUGUAGAAAUACUUCACAGGGCUAUUUUUUUUGUUCUCUUAACUCAAGAUUCUGACCUGCAGCCCCUGCUCAUGUCUGAGCUGAACAACAGUGGGCUUUGGCCAAGGCACUCUACUGGCUUUUUGUUCAUUAGCAACCUGAGCCUGUUAUUUCCAAAGGAGCUGCAUCCUUUGGGCUGUGCUUUCAUAUAUCUUGGAACUGCCAAGCUCUUAGGGCAGGCAAAGGAAGAACAAACCUCUUACGAUACCUCAGGUUGGUCUCCCAGAAAAUGGGCCACGUGGUGACACAAUCAAUGAUUAAAAUCUUUUCUAAAUGUGUCAAGGAAACAAUUUACUGCUGCUGUCACCUAGUGGAGGCAACUGCUGCUUAGGUGGACUGGGCUGUGCUUUCAUGCUGGAGGUUCAAGUACCAAGCACUAACAGUGGUUUUGAACACUUGUAUCCCUGUGCUUAUUUUUUUUUUCCCCCCUCCUUUCUCCUCCUCAUUUCAAUUCCUUCCCACAGGUAACUCUCUACCUUCUUUCCAUGAGCAGUCAGCUCAAAACUCAUCUGAUUAUACUUCAAAAAUAGACACAAAAAUGUACGAGCGAGACUUAAAGAAAUUAUUCUGAAGUCAAACAACCACUCACAGGUAUUUUUUGUAGCAUUUGCCUUGUUCUAUGCACCGAGUAAGAUUUAACCUGAUGUACUAAUAAUAACCACAUUUUGGAAAUGUAAAAGGAGAUUGUUUCACUCCUGAGAAUGAAGUGUUACAGCAUAUAUGAGUAGUUUUCACACUGGGAUAUUAAAGCUGAAUUUCAAAAGAAAUGAGUCAUUCUUGAAAUCCACAACAAAAUAUUAAGAUGACAUGUGAAAAAAGGAAGAAUAAUUAUAUAUAAAAACUGUAAGCCUCUAUCUAUCACUGGGCUUAUGGAAGGGAUUCAGAAGGCUCCAAUUUGCUUCAGACAUCAAAAUCUCCAGUAAUCUUCAGUGUUCAGAACUGCAGAGCUUCAUCUGUACCAGGUCAGAUCCUGAUCCAUCAUGUCAUGGAAGUACAUGUCCAGGGCUAAGGAUGCAAAUAGCUGCAUGGAUUUCUGAGACUCUUCAGAUGCUUAAAGCUGGUCAUGAACAUGAAUAUUUCUCUGAAUUAGAAUUGACUGACAGAACACAUUUGCUUGUAUUUUAAGACUUUCUAAAUAUGAAAUAAUUGUGACACCUUGUCUUAUAAACUUAGGCAAGUCUUCCCCAGUCACUUGCCAUUUUAUAUAGCAUAUUUUAUAAAAAACCUCCACCUGUUAUUUUGGGCUUGCAAACAGGAAUAUUUCAAAUAUAAAAGCAAAGAUACUUUAUUUGUCAAGGACUCAAUUUUCAAUCUUGAAAUAUAGUGCCAGUUGAACUGAAGUAUUUGUAUUUCUUGAUAUGGCUGGAGUUACUGAGAGGUACCUUGUAGGCCCUGUGGGGGAAUGUAAAUCCUUCACGGCGAAAAACACAUCAAUCACGAAUAUUCAAGUUAAAGUAGAAAUUGGGAUUGAUUAAAAAUCACACCUUUGAAUGAAAAAUCAGCUUCUGCUGUAGCAGCAGAGAGAAUUAUUUGUCUUAGUCAAUUCAACUGGUAGUUAGCAAGAUCCUUCAGAGUGACAUUACACUGUAGUGCAAUGGUUUUGCUCUCUUUAGUCACAUGCAAUUAAUUUUUCCUUUUUAAUUAUUCCAAAUAGCAGCAAUCUUGACCAAGGGCCUGAUCCAGAUCUGUUCAAACCAGUGUCCAGUUCUCACACAUCCCAAAGGCACGUGGCCACUAAAAAAGGACUGAAAAUCCCUGAGCUGACCAGGCUGGCACCAGCCACAAAGUUGAUUAAUUAGAGAAAAAAUUACUUAUCACAUGUCCUGUCCAGGCUACAGGCAGUGAGUUACUUCAGAUCAGCAAUUCAUGGUAACUCUGCAUAUAAUAUAUCUAAACUCUGGCAAAUCUGAGUUGGUUUAGUCCUCAGUGACAGCCUGACACUCGUUUUUGCCUAAAAUAAUUUCUGAUAAAUUAGCUUAUUUCAUAAUAUUAAUGACACAACUAUUUCUGGUAGAAGGAUGUUAAUGACUAUUCCAGGGAGUUUGACCUUUCAGAUAUAUUUAAUUGUAUGUUCUCGUGCCUCUGACAGAAAUCCUUCAAGAGUGAUGACCCUGACUCGGGGUUGGGUUACAGUGGAGGAGCCCAAUAAAAAUAUUUCCACUGUAGAAAAAUUAGUGCAGCCUUUGACAAUCUGUUCUCCAGCUUAAUUUCUCCUUUGUAACAGCAAAGUGGCCUCUUGUGCAAUUUGUUCAAGGGGAAACAGUGGACAUGAAGGAUUGUUUUGCAUGAACUGUAUGAGGAUCACUGCAUUUCAAAAGCCAUGCCCUAGAGAACUUAUAAAUAUGUUAUAGAACGCUGAAAAAUUCAACAAGUCUCUUUUUUUUUCCCCCCUUCUGAAGAACAGAGAUUUUUCUUUUCAAUUUCUUCCAGUCAUUAGAAGCAUAAUAAAGGUUCUGUGCAGAAAUUACACAUCUUUCUUGGGUUCCACUGGCAUAGCUGAGUUUUACUCGUCCUGCUGGAGCCACGGAGGGAGGAAGCUCCAAGCUUGAUUUAACUGUGCUUAGAACCAACCCCUGCCCUGGACUGCACGAAAAUUCAAGUCACUGACUCAUACUGUGUGAUUCCCAGUAAUGCCACUGUUUUUCCUGCACACCAUUAAGUCUCUCCCCACUUUGAAUUCCAGAUACUCACGUGGCUUUUUAGUGGUGGCAUUCACGGUGGCACUGAAGGGCCCAGCCCCAGCACUGUUGUAGGCACGGACAGCUGUGUAAUAAGCCAAGUUGCUCCUCAAACCCGUGAUUCUUAUUGAUGUUUCAUUCCCUGCUGCUUUUACUCUGUUUGAAGAUUCUUCUUUCUGACCAUUAUUCCAGUACCUAACCUAGGAGAUAUAAAAGCAAAACCAUUUAAAUCUUGCAUGGAAUGGACUGUUCACCCACAGCAAUGCACUUGACUCUUUUAAGUGCAGGGGUUUUUUUUUUUUUCCCCUCAGCUGAAAAAGGUAGAAAUACAUUAAAGUUUCAGAAAUGUGUUUACUGUGCAAAAAUAAAAUAUUCUUAUCCAUCUGCUUCUCACGCCUGCUGCUCUUUUUAGUGUGACUGUAGGAAAAAGAAAAUUGAAAUAUUAGAUCUCGCUUGAAUUAAAGAAUGACAAGAGGAAAACCAUUACUUCAUUAAAGAGAAAACAAGUUAAACUCAGGAAAAUGUACCCUAUGAAAAAGUUUCUCUGAAAGUAAAUGUAAUUCUGAAAAAAUAUGUCAGUUUGAAGACAUGUUAGACACAUGACUAUCUAUCAGCACAGGAAGAAAACCACAAUUUCAGUCUGUGAUCUUUUUUGCAAUAAUAGAAGAAAUUAUCCUUCCUCUGGGUGUGGGUGGGGCAGGAAGAGUAAGAUUUGGGGCAAUCUUUUGUAAAUCUGUGUGGCUGUCCCGCAGCCUGCAUGACCCUUCUGGCCCAUGGCCAUUUGCAAAGGGGAGUGUAUUUUAUUUAAAUCAACUGGGGGGGGUUAUUUGAAUAUUUUUAGUUAAAUAAACUCACCUCAUAGCCCAAUAACCUCCCAUUGCUUAUCUUCCAGGGAAUGGGUGCCCAGGAGACCUCGAUGGCCGAGGAGGACAGGCUGGUGGCAGACACUCCAGAGGGGGCUGUGCUGGGCUCUGCAUUGGGAAACCAAGGAAGGAGAGGUGACAAACAGAACUGGGGACUGUGCAAAUAAACAUGUGAACAGAAGAUCUCAUUUCUAUGAACUGUUGCUGUUCUCUGAUGGAACGGCUCACAGUAAAUAUUUGGAAGCAGCUCAAUCAUGUACCUUCUUCAGCUGAAUAAACCGUGGUGACUGAACUGAA